GUGCUCGCUUCGGCAGCACAUAAAUUAAAAUUGGAACGAUACAGAGAUUAGCAUGGCCCCUGCUCAAGAAUGACACGUAAAUUCAUGAAGUGUUCCAUUUUUUA